rnacentral:rRNA from 1 species
ACGGCUCAGUAACACGUGGAUAACCUGCCCAAGGGUCUGGGAUAACCCCGGGAAACUGGGGAUAAUACCGGAUGGAUCACUAGUGCUGGAAUGCUUGGUGGUCGAAAGGCAACGCCUUUGGAUGGGUCUGCGGCGGAUUAGGUUGACGCCGGUGUAACGUACCGGCGUGCCUGUAAUCCGUACGGGUUGUGGGAGCAAGAGCCCGGAGAUGGAUUCUGAGACACGAAUCCAGGCCCUACGGGGCGCAGCAGGCGCGAAAACUCUACAAUGCAGGCAACUGCGAUAGGGGGACAUCGAGUGGCAUCCACCUUGGGUGCCUGUCCAACCGUCUAAAAAACGGUUGUUAGCAAGGGCCGGGUAAGACCGGUGCCAGCCGCCGCGGUAAUACCGGCGGCUCGAGUGGUGGCCGAUAUUAUUGAGUCUAAAGGGUCCGUAGCCGGCUUUGCAAGUCCCCUGGGAAAUCCAGCGGCUUAACCGUUGGGCUUUCAUGGGAUACUACAUUGCUUGGGACUGGGAGAGGUAGGAGGUACUCGGGGGGUAGGGGUGAAAUCCUGUAAUCCUCCGGGGACCACCGGUGGCGAAGGCGUCUUACCAGAACGGAUUCGACGGUGAGGGACGAAAGCUGGGGGCACGAACCGGAUUAGAUACCCGGGUAGUCCCAGCCGUAAACGAUGCUCGCUAGGUGUCAGGCAUGGCGCGACCGUGUCUGGUGCCGCAGGGAAGCCGUGAAGCGAGCCACCUGGGAAGUACGGCCGCAAGGCUGAAACUUAAAGGAAUUGGCGGGGGAGCAC